rnacentral:rRNA from 1 species
CCUACGGGAGGCAGCAGUGAGGAAUAUUGGUCAAUGGCCGUAAGGCUGAACCAGCCAAGUCGCGUGAAGGAAGAAGGAUCUAUGGUUUGUAAACUUCUUUUAUAGGGGAAUAAAGGUAUCCACGUGUGGAUAUUUGCAUGUACCCUAUGAAUAAGCAUCGGCUAACUCCGUGCCAGCAGCCGCGGUAAUACGGAGGAUGCGAGCGUUAUCCGGAUUUAUUGGGUUUAAAGGGUGCGUAGGUUGGUUUUUAAGUCAGCGGUGAAAGUUUGUGGCUCAACCAUAAAAUUGCCGUUGAAACUGGAAGACGUGAGUGUGUUUGAGGUAGGCGGAAUGCGUGGUGUAGCGGUGAAAUGCAUAGAUAUCACGCAGAACUCCGAUUGCGAAGGCAGCUUACUAAGCCAUAACUGACACUGAAGCACGAAAGCGUGGGGAUCAAACAGGAUUAGAUACCCCAGUAGUC